rnacentral:lncRNA from 1 species
GUUGCUAGCCAUGAAUUUUAUAUGUAUACACUAAAAGAAGAAUUGCAUUAGUAUGUAUUGAUUUAGGAAACCUAUCUGUUAGUAAUUCCUAGACAAUUCUGUCUCUUCUUCCCUCAGCACCUAGAUAAAAUGGCAGACAUCAUAGUGAUGAGAAUAGCACGUUAGUCCUCAUCUGGGAGGAGAAAACCUCUCAUUGCCUAACUCCAGGAGUUGUUUUCUUCCAAUGACUUUCUUCUUGAUCUUCAAAACAAAAGCCUCCCAUGCCUGUGACCAGUGAAGCUGCCUCAUUCCCAGGACAAUCCCUGUUGGAAGCCCAAGUCCAGCCUCAAUCCAUCAAGCUUUAUGGCCUCCUAGGGCUUCGCAGGAAAGGAUCCCAGCUGGUGAUCUGUUUGUCACCAUGGUUAGCAGGAGGGUUCCCAGGGCAUCAGGACCUUCCACAAGAGAAAUUCCUCUAGUACAGACUAUUGGGUAUGUUCAGAUAUUCCUCUCAGCUUUCCAACUAGAGUGCCCAAAAAUAGUUUAGAGGAGACUUGCAGGUAUGUAAUAUAAAUCUUCAUUGCAGCAGGAUGACAGAAGCACUUCUGCAUGCAUCUCCCAGAGGAAACCCAGAGGGCAGAAUUUGAGCCAUAAGAUCUUUAAAAUAAGGAACGUUACUUUCCUUCUUUCUGGAGCAGAGGAUAUUACCUAUGAAAGGAGAUCUGGACGUGACUUCAGGGGCUGGUGGUGCCCAGGACCAAAUUGGAGCCACAUCACACCCAGUGCUGAGGAGCCACCUCAUGCCUAGUGCAGAGGAGUCACGUCAGUGGAACUGGAAUUCUUCUCAUAUCUGCUUUGGUUGCUGGACUUGUGCACGUAUGAGAGCCUGCCCUCCAGUCCCUUCAGCAAGAAUCUUCUGUAUUUCAGCACCCUGCCCACAUACAUGAAUGAUGGAGUCAGCAUGCAGAGCAGAGGCAGGCAUGCAUGAACACCAAAACAAAGCCAGUUUGGUCUAGUUUUAGGCCAGAUCACUUUGAGAGUAUCCUUUCAGUAGGGAGUUAUGGGUUUUCAGAUUUCUAUUCAGAUUAGCUUCAUUUACUGACAGUAAUAGAGAAUCACUUUUCUGCUGGUAUUUCAUUUUUUGCCAUAUGCCCAAAUUUUGCCAAGAAUAAUCCCGUCCUCCUCUCCAAUGUAAUAAAAUCUCUAUACAUUCUCCA